AUAUAUAUAUAUACAUAUACAUAUAUAUAUAUAUAUAUAUAUAUACACACACACAUAUGUAUAUAUAUGUUUAGAUAUGUAUAUACUACCUCUACAGUACAAGAUCAGAUGUAUUUUGUAACUCAUUUAUAGAUUGACUCUUUUAAGGUUAUAUAAUUUCCCAGAGGUUUAAUACUUUGUUGCAUGUUUUUGUACUUGAAAAUUCCUCUUUGUUGUAACGUUAAAUAAAUACUAAAGGACCAAGUAUCGUAAAACAGUAAAAUGUUCUGCCUGUAAUUCAUAUCUUUGCUGUUGCAAGCAUUAAGGGACCAAAAAAGAAAUUGUUAUACUCAUUAUAUAUUUUUUUAGAUUAAUCGGCCAAUUAAUUGGCUAUCGGAAUUUUUUCUGCCGAAUAUCGGCAUCGGCCUCAAAAACUCCGUAUCAGUCGGGCUUUAAUAUUUACAUAUGAAAGAACCAAAAUUAUUCUUUUGGUGACAAAGAUUCAUGUGUUUAAAUGAUUCCAUCACAGAAAAUCCAGAGUUCUAGGAGUCACUGGAAACUAAAGUAUGGCAUGAUGGAGUUUACAGGUGAAUGGAAACUUUAGUUUACGACUAUAGUUGACCAGACUUACAUGUAAAAAUCUGAUGUUCACAGGUGAACACUGAUGUUCACAGGUGAACACUGAGGUGAGAAGUUGAUCCUGAUGAAGCAGCAGCUCAGACGUCGGUGUUUUUCUGCCUGGAGCUGCAGCUCAGAGAGUUUCAGUUGAUAAAUAAUUCUGUCAGAAAACGCUGCCGCUGCACCAAAAUAACUCAUCAUUUAUUCUCUGUUCUGUCAGACGGUUUGGAUUCUGUCCUGGAAAUCUUCUCGCAGCUGAUGAUGAAGAGCAGAAACCAGCAGAUUUUCUGUUUAAAAAGCAGCUCGAGGAGUUUCAGAGUGGAUUUAUUUCAUCAGUAUUUAGUAUCAAUGUGAAAAUUCUUGUUUUUUUUAGACGAAUAAAUAAACGUUGAGUGAAACUGUGAUGACUUCUGUGCUCAGAUUGUAGAAUCGCAGGUGGAUGUUUCGAACACAGCAGCACUUUCUCCAUGUAGAUCAGAGUUUUAUUGAUUAACUCACAUUUUAUGUUCUAAUCUCACUUGUUUGAAGAUGGGUGUUGCUAAACUUAGCUCUAUUAAAAUGCAGAUAUUCUGGGAUUCUGUCUUAAUGAAUGAAUUGCAGCAACUUUGUUCUCAUUUCCAGAUAUUUACCUUGAAGCUGAUGUGACUUUAAGGACAAAUAGUCCAGUUUGAAGCUUCUGUAACUUGAAUUUCUGGCAGUUUUUUGAUUAUAUGAAGAAUUUUUAGCUUUUUGAAACGACUUUCAAGGUAAGAUUUACAUGAGAAAGAAGAUUCUGUAUUUAAAAAUAAUAGUAAUCUGGCGGCAAAAGUGUCAAAAAGUAUGUAAAAAAUAAAAAAUAAUAUAACAGCAAAUAUUCAAAUUCUAUUUUUGCUGUUUCAAAUAUAACAAAAAUGCAAUUUUAUAGUUACACAUUGUUAAAGUAAAUUUGCUUUUUAUGAAAAUACAGAUAUUUGAUGUGGACAUUGUUUUUUAAUUACAGUUUACAUGUAAAUUAAUAAUUUAAUGUGAUUUAAUCAGUUAUCUAAUAAAACUAGGAAAAUCUGUAAAAACAUAAAAAUGUAUUUACUAUUUCUCAAUAAUGACAAAUAUAUUUGCGGUUGAUGUAUUACUGCUCAGUUUGCAUCAUUAUCUGGUGUUUUUGUGCCUCGUGUUUUAUGUGUAUUUGUGUUCAUUUUGUGUCACUGUUUCAUUGAUCUUCAUCCCUUUCUGGUGUUUUUCUGUGUUUUUAUCAUCGUUUUGUGGCUCUUUGUAGUUGGUUUGAGUUACUUUGGUGUCUCAUUGGGUCUCAGUUUGCCUUUGCUCUGCAUUGUUUGGGACCAUUUGGCAUUUCUCUGGUCAUUUUGUGUGUUGCGGUCUUUUUGAAUUUAUUUGUGCUCAUUUUGCAUCUCGCAGUGGUCAGUUUAUGUGUCUUAGAGGUGGUUUUGUCUCUUUUUGCAUUAAUUAGUGUCUAUUUGUGUUAUUUUGCAUGACUUUUUAAUUGACUGGCAUCUGUUUCUGGUCUUUUUUCGCAUCUUUGCAGUUAAGUGUUUUUGUUUAUUGGUUUGAAUCUCUUACUGUUUAUUGUGUGUUUCUUGGCAUUGUUUUGUGGGUCUUCGUAGUUUGUUGGAGUAAUUUUGGUGUUUCGUGUCUCUUUACAUCUGGCAGUGAUCCUUUUGUGACUUAGAAGCACUGUUCCCUCUAAGCUGCCUACGUGCGCAAUUGCGCACUGCUGACACGCUCUCCGUGCACAGAAAAUCUGCGCAGCACACACAAAAAAAUCCAACCUAAAUUGAAAAUAAAAUAAACACGUAACAAUUCAUUCUGUGCUAUUUUUCAGUGUGAGUCAGUGAGUGACCAGUGACUGGCUGCUGCAGCUAAUGAUGCGAUUCACAUACGUAUUUACCAUAGACUGUAUAUAAUGGUAUUUACGCAGCUAAUCAACGUCAUUGACAGGCGUCCUUAUGUGCAGCCAUCGUUGUUGUCAUAGAUAUGAAUGAGUAGAUAGGACACGCCCCUUUGAGCUGCGUGCUACAGCGAGGCUAAGCUAGUGGGGGCAAAGUUUCAGUGCAUUUCGUUGAUGUAGACGGCGUGGAAACGGAAACAACAAGUAUGCCGGCUCACUGUGCUGCAUACAAUUACACACUACGUCAUACGAUUGAGACAAGGAAACAUGGAAUGACUUUUCAUAGGUUUCCCAGAGACUAUGGGCUGAGGAGGAAUUGAAAGUUUGUCUGCUUAGACCUGGUGUCAUUCCAUCAGUGUUAAACUUCCCGGCUCAUCUUGGAAGAGUACGUGCCAGAAAGACCACGACCAAGCAGCCUUGAGAUCUUAGACAGCGUCUCCCUGAGGUCCCUCUCUAUCUCCCCACACAUCCACCAACCACUGGAACACAUCUCCAAAGUUCUGCCAGGCCAGCUCAGCUUCCCCUCAGAAGAAGUGCCACCAGAUGAAGGAGCCUUUUGAGAGGCAGCUGGCAUCGUGAUUGGACUGUACUUUGGUCUGUUCCAAUCCAGCUUCAGCUCCAGAGACGGCAGGCGGGACGAGUCAACGGAGGCCGGAUGGACGAAGACCAAAGAACUACAGACUCUUCACAACCUGCUCAAACUCUUGGUACAGGACCUCACCACACGGGUCAAGAAGGUUUCCGUCUCAUUUCUACUCUGAAGCUCACCUUCUCCUGCUCAAACUGCUGACAAAUGUUUCUGCUGCUCUAAAGUCUGGUCUCCAGAACUUCCUAAAAACUCUCAAAGUCUCUUCUGCUGCAGGUUGCUUUGUAGAACUGUUCCAGAAAACCUCACUAAACCACAUGGAGGGGCCUCAAGAUAGUCGUCCAAAUGAAACCAUACAAAAACCAAACUAGCACAACCCAAACGCUAAAGUCUCCUGCAGCCUACCAGAGAACCUCUGAGAACAGAG
ensembl:lncRNA